rnacentral:misc_RNA from 1 species
AGUAAAGUGCUCUUAGCUCUACCAUGUACUUUAUGGGUAUGAUAGACGUCACAGCUGCUAAAGUGAGUAGAAUUGCCACGAUAAGCAGCCAAGAUGGCUGGCCAAGUAGGUUUUGAUGCAAUGAAGCCAUAGAUGGAGAUGUCAUCAGAUGACUGACGAGCUGCUUUAAUUAUGUCAGAAUGAUAUGUCCACGCCAAUGGUAUUGGUGGCUGCAUUAAAAUAAACAAUGCACCUGUUGCCACCACAAGCACUAAGCAUCUCUUUGCAGACAAGACAUGAGAGAAGUGCAUAGCAACAAUUGGUACACAAGCCAAUCCCG